UAGGGAAUAUUGCACAAUGAGCGAAAGCUUGAUGCAGCAACGCCGCGUGCGCGAUGACGGCCUUCGGGUUGUAAAGCGCUUUUCGGGGAGAUGAGGAAGGACAGUAUCCCCGGAAUAAGUCUCGGCUAACUACGUGCCAGCAGCCGCGGUAACACGUAGGAGGCAAGCGUUAUCCGAAUUUACUGGGCGUAAAGCGCGUGCAGGCGGUUCGGUAAGUUGGAUGUGAAAUCUCCCGGCUCAACUGGGAGGGGACGUUCAAUACUGUCGACUUGAGGACGAUAGAGGGAGGUGGAAUUCCCGGUGUAGUGGUGAAAUGCGUAGAUAUCGGGAGGAACACCAGUGGCGAAAGCGGCCUCCUGGAUCGUUCCUGACGCUCAGACGCGAAAGCUAGGGGAGCGAACAG
rnacentral:rRNA from 1 species